AUGGUUGCAUUUGCUAUGGAUGUGGCGUCGUCAAGUGUGACACUGCCGUACGCACCAAGAAAGUUACAUCUUGUUAUAGGCCUCCAAUGGGUAGAAGAGAAGGAGAAAGAUGCAAAAUCUUUCUAUGCUAUGUUCAGAAUGAGGAGGUCAGUGUUUCGAACAUUGCAUGAUCUGUUAGUUCAGAAGUAUGGGCUUGAGUCAACUUCCAACAUUUCAUCCAAAGAAGUAUUGGCACAAUUUUUAUGGACUGUGGGUACAUGUCAAACAACUGAUAAUGUCGCAGACCGGUUUGCACAUAGUCGUUCUGUCAUUAAUAAAAAAUUCCAUGAGGUUUUGGAUUGUGUAGACCGCAUGGCCGGUGAUUACAUAAGACCAAUUGAUCCAACUUUCUCUGAACCACACCCAGUACUUAGAAAAACAAAGUUUUGGCCUCAUUUUGAACAUGCUAUUGGCGCCAUUGAUGGAACACACAUUAAGGUGAUUGUGCCUAAGGAGUUGGAGCCCCAACACAGGAAUAGGAAAGGUUACACAAGUGAAAAUGUUAUGGCAGUGUGUGAUUUUGAUAUGAGGUUCACGAUUUGUUGUUCCCGGAUGGCCCGGAUCUGUUCAUGA
rnacentral:rRNA from 1 species